GGUCACCCUGUCUUAGUCCUCUCUGUGGAAUGACAUAACCAACUGAAUUUCCAUUCAACAUGAAAGAAUACGAAAGUUAAAAAUAGUAGAAAGCUAUUUUAGAAACUCCCUAUAAAAUUUCAACUCCAACCGUACUUCCUAGUUUUAAAGAGUUAUAAUUAUUUUUAAUAUUUUUAAUUCAAUUUUUGAAUAAAGUGUAG
rnacentral:lncRNA from 1 species